UGACGUCAAGUCAUCAUGCCCCUUAUGUCCUGGGCUGCACACGUGCUACAAUGGUCGGUACAAUGGGCUGCGAUGCGCGAGGCGGAGCGAAUCCCAUAAAACCGGCCCCAGUUCGGAUCGAAGGCUGCAACUCGCCUUCGUGAAGUCGGAGUUGCUAGUAAUCGCGGAUCAGCAUGCCGCGGUGAAUACGUUCCCGGGCCUU
rnacentral:rRNA from 1 species